AAAGUCCCCGACCAUUGAAGGACCAGCAAUCCACAAGGUCCCCGAGUCAUGCGUUGCAUACCGCGAGGUAUGGGGCGAAGCGUUGACAGGGGUGUUGACAGGCCAGCCAUUG
rfam:Klebsiella pneumoniae IS46, WGS project CBWL01000000 data, contig: c608